GGGUUGUGAGGUUAAGCGACUAAGCGUACACGGUGGAUGCCCUGGCAGUCAGAGGCGAUGAAGGACGUGCUAAUCUGCGAUAAGCGUCGGUAAGGUGAUAUGAACCGUUAUAACCGGCGAUUUCCGAAUGGGGAAACCCAGUGUGUUUCGACACACUAUCAUUAACUGAAUCCAUAGGUUAAUGAGGCGAACCGGGGGAACUGAAACAUCUAAGUACCCCGAGGAAAAGAAAUCAACCGAGAUUCCCCCAGUAGCGGCGAGCGAACGGGGAGCAGCCCAGAGCCUGAAUCAGUGUGUGUGUUAGUGGAAGCGUCUGGAAAGGCGCGCGAUACAGGGUGACAGCCCCGUACACAAAAAUGCACAUACUGUGAGCUCGAUGAGUAGGGCGGGACACGUGGUAUCCUGUCUGAAUAUGGGGGGACCAUCCUCCAAGGCUAAAUACUCCUGACUGACCGAUAGUGAACCAGUACCGUGAGGGAAAGGCGAAAAGAACCCCGGCGAGGGGAGUGAAAAAGAACCUGAAACCGUGUACGUACAAGCAGUGGGAGCACGCUUAGGCGUGUGACUGCGUACCUUUUGUAUAAUGGGUCAGCGACUUAUAUUCUGUAGCAAGGUUAACCGAAUAGGGGAGCCGAAGGGAAACCGAGUCUUAACUGGGCGUUAAGUUGCAGGGUAUAGACCCGAAACCCGGUGAUCUAGCCAUGGGCAGGUUGAAGGUUGGGUAACACUAACUGGAGGACCGAACCGACUAAUGUUGAAAAAUUAGCGGAUGACUUGUGGCUGGGGGUGAAAGGCCAAUCAAACCGGGAGAUAGCUGGUUCUCCCCGAAAGCUAUUUAGGUAGCGCCUCGUGAAUUCAUCUCCGGGGGUAGAGCACUGUUUCGGCAAGGGGGUCAUCCCGACUUACCAACCCGAUGCAAACUGCGAAUACCGGAGAAUGUUAUCACGGGAGACACACGGCGGGUGCUAACGUCCGUCGUGAAGAGGGAAACAACCCAGACCGCCAGCUAAGGUCCCAAAGUCAUGGUUAAGUGGGAAACGAUGUGGGAAGGCCCAGACAGCCAGGAUGUUGGCUUAGAAGCAGCCAUCAUUUAAAGAAAGCGUAAUAGCUCACUGGUCGAGUCGGCCUGCGCGGAAGAUGUAACGGGGCUAAACCAUGCACCGAAGCUGCGGCAGCGACGCUGAUGCGUUGUUGGGUAGGGGAGCGUUCUGUAAGCCUGUGAAGGUGUGCUGUGAGGCAUGCUGGAGGUAUCAGAAGUGCGAAUGCUGACAUAAGUAACGAUAAAGCGGGUGAAAAGCCCGCUCGCCGGAAGACCAAGGGUUCCUGUCCAACGUUAAUCGGGGCAGGGUGAGUCGACCCCUAAGGCGAGGCCGAAAGGCGUAGUCGAUGGGAAACAGGUUAAUAUUCCUGUACUUGGUGUUACUGCGAAGGGGGGACGGAGAAGGCUAUGUUGGCCGGGCGACGGUUGUCCCGGUUUAAGCGUGUAGGCUGGUUUUCCAGGCAAAUCCGGAAAAUCAAGGCUGAGGCGUGAUGACGAGGCACUACGGUGCUGAAGCAACAAAUGCCCUGCUUCCAGGAAAAGCCUCUAAGCAUCAGGUAACAUCAAAUCGUACCCCAAACCGACACAGGUGGUCAGGUAGAGAAUACCAAGGCGCUUGAGAGAACUCGGGUGAAGGAACUAGGCAAAAUGGUGCCGUAACUUCGGGAGAAGGCACGCUGAUAUGUAGGUGAAGUCCCUCGCGGAUGGAGCUGAAAUCAGUCGAAGAUACCAGCUGGCUGCAACUGUUUAUUAAAAACACAGCACUGUGCAAACACGAAAGUGGACGUAUACGGUGUGACGCCUGCCCGGUGCCGGAAGGUUAAUUGAUGGGGUCAGCGCAAGCGAAGCUCUUGAUCGAAGCCCCGGUAAACGGCGGCCGUAACUAUAACGGUCCUAAGGUAGCGAAAUUCCUUGUCGGGUAAGUUCCGACCUGCACGAAUGGCGUAAUGAUGGCCAGGCUGUCUCCACCCGAGACUCAGUGAAAUUGAACUCGCUGUGAAGAUGCAGUGUACCCGCGGCAAGACGGAAAGACCCCGUGAACCUUUACUAUAGCUUGACACUGAACAUUGAGCCUUGAUGUGUAGGAUAGGUGGGAGGCUUAGAAGUGUGGACGCCAGUCUGCAUGGAGCCGACCUUGAAAUACCACCCUUUAAUGUUUGAUGUUCUAACGUUGACCCGUAAUCCGGGUUGCGGACAGUGUCUGGUGGGUAGUUUGACUGGGGCGGUCUCCUCCUAAAGAGUAACGGAGGAGCACGAAGGUUGGCUAAUCCUGGUCGGACAUCAGGAGGUUAGUGCAAUGGCAUAAGCCAGCUUGACUGCGAGCGUGACGGCGCGAGCAGGUGCGAAAGCAGGUCAUAGUGAUCCGGUGGUUCUGAAUGGAAGGGCCAUCGCUCAACGGAUAAAAGGUACUCCGGGGAUAACAGGCUGAUACCGCCCAAGAGUUCAUAUCGACGGCGGUGUUUGGCACCUCGAUGUCGGCUCAUCACAUCCUGGGGCUGAAGUAGGUCCCAAGGGUAUGGCUGUUCGCCAUUUAAAGUGGUACGCGAGCUGGGUUUAGAACGUCGUGAGACAGUUCGGUCCCUAUCUGCCGUGGGCGCUGGAGAACUGAGGGGGGCUGCUCCUAGUACGAGAGGACCGGAGUGGACGCAUCACUGGUGUUCGGGUUGUCAUGCCAAUGGCACUGCCCGGUAGCUAAAUGCGGAAGAGAUAAGUGCUGAAAGCAUCUAAGCACGAAACUUGCCCCGAGAUGAGUUCUCCCUGACUCCUUGAGAGUCCUGAAGGAACGUUGAAGACGACGACGUUGAUAGGCCGGGUGUGUAAGCGCAGCGAUGCGUUGAGCUAACCGGUACUAAUGAACCGUGAGGCUUAACCUUACAACGCCGAAGCUGUU
rnacentral:rRNA from 1 species